rnacentral:rRNA from 1 species
AACGAACGCUGGCGGCGUGCCUAACACAUGCAAGUCGAACGGGGAUAGAUAGCUUGCUAUUUAUUCUAGUGGCGCACGGGUGAGUAACGCGUAGAUAAUCUGCCUUGGACUCUGGGAUAACAUUUCGAAAGGGGUGCUAAUACCGGAUAAGCCCACGGGGACGUAAGUUCUUGCGGGAAAAGGGGGCCUCUGCAUAUGCUCUUGAUCCAAGAUGAGUCUGCGUACCAUUAGCUAGUUGGUAGGGUAAGAGCCUACCAAGGCGACGAUGGUUAGCUGGUCUGAGAGGAUGAUCAGCCACACUGGAACUGAGACACGGUCCAGACUCCUACGGGAGGCAGCAGUGGGGAAUUUUGCGCAAUGGGGGAAACCCUGACGCAAGCAACGCCGCGUGAGUGAUGAAGGCUUUCGGGUCGUAAAGCUCUGUCUAGAGGGAAGAAAUGAUAUUGGGUUAAUACCCUGAUUUCG